rnacentral:rRNA from 1 species
UACGGGGGGGGUAAGCGUUGUUCGGAAUUACUGGGCGUAAAGGGCUCGUAGGCGGCCAACUAAGUCGGACGUGAAAUCCCUCAGCUUAACUGGGGAACUGCGUCCGAUACUGGAUGGCUUGGAUUCGGGAGAGGAAUGCGGAAUUCCAGGUGUAGCGGUGAAAUGCGUAGAUAUCUGGAGGAACACCGGUGGCGAAGGCGGCAUCCUGGACCGACACUGACGCUGAGGAGCGAAAGCCAGGGGAGCAAACGGG